rnacentral:rRNA from 1 species
UACAGAGGUCCCAAGCGUUGUUCGGAUUCACUGGGCGUAAAGGGUGCGUAGGUGGUUGGGUAAGUCUGAUGUGAAAUCUCCGGGCUCAACCCGGAAAUGGCAUUGGAUACUAUUCGGCUAGAGGUUUGGAGGGGGGACUGGAAUUCUCGGUGUAGCAGUGAAAUGCGUAGAUAUCGAGAGGAACACCAGUGGCGAAGGCGAGUCCCUGGACAACACCUGACACUGAGGCACGAAAGCUAGGGGGAGCAAACAGG